rnacentral:lncRNA from 1 species
CUGGCUGUCACCUGUGUGUUGAUAUGUCUGCAGGAAGAGAGGGGAAUGUGUGUCACUUGGUGCCAGGCUGUGAUCACAUCCAUCAGAGUGAUGUCACCUGUCUGCCCUGCCUUCAGUGAGCUCAGAAGGACGUGGCCAGUGUUGGCUGAUGUUGGAUGAAGGAACAACACUCUUCAAUGAAUAAAGCCAGCAUGAGAAAAGGUGGCAGUUGCCAUGGGUUGGGGUCUCUAGCACUGACUGCUGUGCUGCACUCCUGUAUGCUCACCUGUUCCUUUGGAAGGGUUCUGAGGUGGUUUGAAUAAGAAUGGCCUCCAUACAAAUGGAUGGAACUAGAGGAAACCAUCCUGAGUGAGGUAACCCAGUCACAAAAAGACAAGCAAGAGCCCUCACCCAGUGGCUGAUGGAAACAGA